GAUGAAGAACGCAGCGAAAUGCGAUAAGUAAUGUGAAUUGCAGAAUUCCGUGAAUCAUCGAAUCUUUGAACGCACAUUGCGCCCUCUGGUAUUCCGGGGGGCAUGCCUGUCCGAGCGUCAUUGCAAACCCUCAAGCCCGGCUUGUGUGAUGGGUCCCGCGUCCGCCUUCCGGGGCGGACGGGCCCGAAAUGCAGUGGCGGCGUCGCGGUAAUCCGAUCAGCCAGAGCGUAUGGGGCUUUGUCACCCGCUCUGUAGGCCCGGCCGGCGCUUGCCGAUCAACCCAAAUUUUUAUCCAGGUUGACCUCGGAUCAGGUAGGGAUACCCGCUGAACUUAAGCAUAUCAAUAAGCGGAGGA
rnacentral:misc_RNA from 1 species